rnacentral:rRNA from 1 species
AGAGUUUGAUCAUGGCUCAGAACGUACGCUGGCGGCACGCCUAACACAUGCAAGUCGAACGAAGUAGCAAUACUUAGUGGCAGACGGGUGAGUAACAUGUGGGUAUCUGCCCUUUGGCCUGGAAUAACACGAGGAAACUUGUGCUAAUACCGGAUAAGUCUUUACGGAGAAAGCUUUAUGCACCAUUGGAUGAGCCCGCACUUGAUUAGUUUGUUGGUGGGGUAAUGGCCUACCAAGACUGUGAUCAAUAGCUGAUUUGAGAGGAUGAUCAGCCACAUUGGGACUGAGACACGGCCCAAACUCCUACGGGAGGCAGCAGUGGGGAAUCUUGCACAAUGGAGGAAACUCUGAUGCAGCGAUGCCGCGUGAGUGAAUAAGGCCUUUGGGUUGUAAAGCUCUUUCGUCGGGGAAGAAAAUGACUGUACCCGAAUAAGAAGGUCCGGCUAACUUCGUGCCAGCAGCCGCGGUAAUACGAAGGGACCUAGCGUAGUUCGGAAUUACUGGGCUUAAAGAGUUCGUAGGUGGUUGAAAAAGUUGGUGGUGAAAUCCCAGAGCUUAACUCUGGAACUGCCAUCAAAACUUUUCAGCUAGAGUUUGAUAGAGGAAAGCAGAAUUUCUAGUGUAGAGGUGAAAUUCGUAGAUAUUAGAAAGAAUACCAAUUGCGAAGGCAGCUUUCUGGAUCAUUACUGACACUGAGGAACGAAAGCAUGGGUAGCGAAGAGGAUUAGAUACCCUCGUAGUCCAUGCCGUAAACGAUGUGUGUUAGACGUUGGAAAUUUAUUUUCAGUGUCGCAGCGAAAGCGAUAAACACACCGCCUGGGGAGUACGACCGCAAGGUUAAAACUCAAAUGAAUUGACGGGGACCCGCACAAGUAGUGGAGCAUGUGGUUUAAUUCGAAGAUACGCGCAGAACCUUACCAACACUUGACAUGUUCGUCGCGACUUUAAGAGAUUAAAGUUUUCGGUUCGGCCGGACGAAACACAGGUGCUGCAUGGCUGUCGUCAGCUCGUGUCGUGAGAUGUUGGGUUAAGUCCCGCAACGAGCGCAACCCUCACUUUUAGUUGCCAUCAUUUAGUUGGGCACUCUGAAAGAACUGCCAGUGAUAAGCUGGAGGAAGGUGGGGACGACGUCAAGUCCUCAUGGCCCUUACGUGUUGGGCUACACACGUGCUACAAUGGUAUCUACAACAGGAAGCAAAACAGCGAUGUUAAGCAAAUCCUUAAAAGAUACCUCAGUUCGGAUUGCACUCUGCAACUCGAGUGCAUGAAGCUGGAAUUACUAGUAAUCGUGGAUCAGCGUGCCACGGUGAAUGCGUUCCCGGGUCUUGUCCACACCGCCCGUCACACCAUGGGAGUUGGUUCUACCUUAAGGCAAGGUUUUAAACCCUUGACCACGGUAUAGUCAGCGACUGGGGUGAAGUCGUAACAAGGUA